rnacentral:rRNA from 1 species
ACGCUGGCGGCAGGCCUAACACAUGCAAGUCGAGCGGUAGAGAGAAGCUUGCUUCUCUUGAGAGCGGCGGACGGGUGAGUAAUGCCUAGGAAUCUGCCUGGUAGUGGGGGAUAACGUUCGGAAACGGACGCUAAUACCGCAUACGUCCUACGGGAGAAAGCAGGGGACCUUCGGGCCUUGCGCUAUCAGAUGAGCCUAGGUCGGAUUAGCUAGUUGGUGAGGUAAUGGCUCACCAAGGCGACGAUCCGUAACUGGUCUGAGAGGAUGAUCAGUCACACUGGAACUGAGACACGGUCCAGACUCCUACGGGAGGCAGCAGUGGGGAAUAUUGGACAAUGGGCGAAAGCCUGAUCCAGCCAUGCCGCGUGUGUGAAGAAGGUCUUCGGAUUGUAAAGCACUUUAAGUUGGGAGGAAGGGCAUUAACCUAAUACGUUAGUGUUUUGACGUUACCGACAGAAUAAGCACCGGCUAACUCUGUGCCAGCAGCCGCGGUAAUACAGAGGGUGCAAGCGUUAAUCGGAAUUACUGGGCGUAAAGCGCGCGUAGGUGGUUUGUUAAGUUGGAUGUGAAAUCCCCGGGCUCAACCUGGGAACUGCAUUCAAAACUGGCUGACUAGAGUAUGGUAGAGGGUGGUGGAAUUUCCUGUGUAGCGGUGAAAUGCGUAGAUAUAGGAAGGAACACCAGUGGCGAAGGCGACCACCUGGACUAAUACUGACACUGAGGUGCGAGAGCGUGGGGAGCAAAC